rnacentral:rRNA from 1 species
GUGGGGAUGACGUCAAGUCCUCAUGGCCUUUAUGUCCAGGGCUACACACGUGCUACAAUGGCGCGUACAGAGGGACGCCAAACCGCGAGGUGGAGCACGACCCCAGAAAGCGCGUCGUAGUUCGGAUUGCAGUCUGCAACUCGACUGCAUGAAGUCGGAAUCGCUAGUAAUCGCGGAUCAGCAUGCCGCGGUGAAUACCGUUCCCGGGCCUUGUACACACCGCCCGUCACACCAUGGGAGUAGAUU